rnacentral:lncRNA from 1 species
AUUCAGGCGGGCUCGGAGCAAGUGUGUGUGUGAGGUUGGGGGAGCUCAGAGGUGAGGUGCCCCGCAUCUCCCAGGAUGCCCAAGAGGCAGGAGUGCAGAGAACCUCUGUCAGGGUCUCAGCCCCUUCCUACCAGCUGGUUUCCCACCACUCCCCUGGCUCCCUUAGGUAUCCCAACCCCAGGCACAGCCACCCCAGAGGAUGCUCUGCAGAGAGGCGGGGUCCGGGUCCUCCCCUCCACCCCCUUCCGUUUAACCCUCGCACCGCCGCUGUGCGCUCCUGCGCUCCUGGGCCAGCUGGACUGGGAGACCUACAACCCAGUACCUCGAGCCCACCCAGAUGGAAGGAAGGUAGUGACACCGUGGUGUCCUCAGCGUGCACUGCGCAUCCUGCCUCUCAUUCAGCCUCUAGACACCAGCCCUGCGUUCCUGGUACAAUAGGGAGCCAGGUGGCCUGGGGUCAGCAGCAGGGACCUCAUAAGUGACAGAAGGAACCCCAUCUCCUAGCCCGAGUUCCAGCUCCAACUCCCUAUCACGUCUCCUGCAGUCUAGAGUCCAAGGAAUGGCACCCUGCACCCGCAUCCCGUGGAGCGCCCUGGUCACCCCGAGCCAGAUGGUGAAACCAGGAAUAUUACAAGUUCAAGAUCAUCUUUGGCUACAUGGUAAACUCAAGGCCAUUCUGGGAAUACAUGAGAUUCAUCAUCAUUGUCGUCGUCGUCGCCAUCGUCAUCAUCAUCAUCUAGAUAAAUCUGGUAUCCAAACUCUCCCCACAGCCUAUGCGACAUCAAGCAGGAGGAAGCCUGGUUCACAGCAGACCCCGAGCGCUCUAUCAUAUCUAGCAUACUGUGACCAACCCCCAGCCUACCUUCACAUAGUCCCCAGCGGCCUCCAGCUCUGCAGCAGUCCUGGAAGAAGAAAAAAGAGAACUUCACCUUCAGGAACCUCUGGCCUGGACCAGAAGGAAGAGUGAACUUCCACUAGGAUCCUGAAGAAGUGGAGAAGGAGGCUGCCCCACCCCUCUGCCAGGCGUGGCCUUACCCUCUGUCCUGAGCUUCUUCCUUUGGGCCUUAGGGUCUGGUCAUAAGGCCCGAGAAGAGAUUCGCAGCUCUGACACCUGCUUCCCUCUCUCUGAGGCUUGGCUUCCUCAUCUUCUGAGGGGACAUCAUGUGUGCCUGGAAGGCCAUGAUGCUCAUGUGACCGUCAGUGCCGGGUCCCCUCACCCCAGUGGGUUCCAGAUCCUGGUGCCACUCUCCUGGGGUAUUAGACCUUUCCUUACACAGACCCUGUUUUUGUUUUGCUCAGUUUUGUUAUGUUUUCAAAAUAAACGUCUAGGCUUGUCUCAAA